GAGACACGCUUAGGGGUAGGACUUGCUUCAGUGGGGCUUUGCUGCUCACUGAGUCUGCCCCUUGAGUGUGUUAUU
rnacentral:pre_miRNA from 1 species